rnacentral:sRNA from 1 species
AAGCAUCGAAGGGCGCACUCCUCCUCCCAGCGCCUCUCGACGGGACUGACAACACCUCCUCCUCCCGGUUGUCAGUCAGUUUCAGAAACCCGGCGCACCUCCUCCCGCGCCGGGUUUUCUGU